rnacentral:lncRNA from 1 species
CUUCUCUGUGGAUGGUCACAGGUCUCCUAGUCCAUCAUGGACGAUACAUCAAUGUGUGCAAGCAACGGAAGCACGUAAAGCGAGAUGACCCAUUUGCCAGAACUGGAUGUUUCUUGGAGCUCCUUCCCAAUUCCAUACCCAGGCGAUACAUGGCGUCAUCACUGGACACCAAAGGAAGGGAGAACUCAGUUUUUACUCUGUUUUCUUGUUUGUCCGGGCGAUAUCUCAGCCAUCCUUUGAGCUCGGAAGCUGAAGUUUGAGAACAAAUAUGAAGAUGUGCUUUGACAAAAAAAAGGUAUUGAGUGAGGCUGCUCGAAGAGCGAAACAAAAGGCAAAGACACCAACGCAACAUAAAUUGAGCAGUCGGGAACAGGUGGACAAGGGACAGCUAAAUAAGAACAGACAUUAGACAGACGAAAGACACCAAAGUUUUUUUUUCAAUAUAUGAUUAUAUAUAAUUAGCAAGGAAAUUUUUCUGACUAAUUAUACACAUCAAUAUAUUCAAAAGUAAAGUGUUCUUGGACUAUGAGUAAUCCCACUCUGGGAACUUGUUGAACAUCCGGUGUAAUGUAAGAAUGCAUGAAAAGAGCAUUACAUAACUUCGCUCAUACAAAAACGUGGACUACUAAAAUAUUCCGCAUUACAUUCAGUACUUUUAACGAUAUAUUACAGGAAGUACUUUAACUUUAGGAGAAACUUAAAUGUGGUUUAAUUUCGAGUUUUAUUUCGAACUGUUCAACUUAGAAAGAACUACAUUUCACAUUUGAUUAAGCCAAGACAAAAAGUAAUUCCAUUGAAGAAGUCACUCUUGUUUGCAUAAUGCUUCAGUGCCUGGACUAUUUUGAUAACAGAGAAUAAAGAUUUGUGAGUCUGCAAAAUAUGUUCAAUUAUGUCAGUCAGCGGAUGCUCCUUGGCAAGGAAACAGCAUUUCCGUGGCAUUUCUACCUCCA